ACUUUCUACUUAUCUUAACGAGGUGCCGCCUUAUUCCUGCCAAAGGCCAUGAAAAAGGAUGUUGAAAUAUCAUCCCUCAUAAGCUCCAGGCAGUGAAACUGAAAUGGAGUAAGGGUUUUAGGAAAGCCAUUUUUGGUGACUAUUAUUAGAUCUAUCUCCAUUUAAAUGACUUGUGUGUUGGAAAAUUAUUAUUACUACACUAAAUGUGUCGUGUUCUUUCCACAAACCACAUAAUAUAGUACAAUAUAAUUAAAUAGUUUAAAUCUACCUAGUUUAAUUGUCCCUGCUUGUAUUGCAUAACUGCUGGUGUGUAGUCAAUAGGAUAUGCUCACUUAACAAAGGCAAAUUGUUUCACUCAAAAUUCUUCUUGCCUUAUCAGCCUGAAUGACAUUAUCACCCUGAACUACUCCUCUAGACAGUGUUAUAACCUAUAUUUAAAAGGGUAAUAUUGAAGACUAAAACAAUAAACACUUCUUUUUAAUUGUCUUUUAAUCCUUAAUAACAUAAUUAAAAAUAAAAAUUUCUUUCAAUUUGUCACUUAGGCUAAUUUUAAUGAAGAAACAGAAGAGAAAAGAUCUGGUGGCCUGGGUGUGAUAUGUGCUGACAGCAGUUUCUCAUGCAGAUUUAUGGAGAUCGGUAUUGCCUUAUGGAUAUUUAAAGGAUCAUAAUUUGGACUGGUAUAUCAGCUAUCUUAUGUGCUCAAAAGACUUCCAUUAAUGAUGUUUAAAAAUUACACGUUCUCAUGUGAUUUAAGACUAAGGUGAAAGUGAAUAAGGUGAAUAAGACAGGAUACAAUUUAUAUUGAAGUCCUCCCACUUGAAAGGACAUGUUUCCUACGGCACUGGAAAAAAAAAAAAAAAAAAAAAAGAUGAUCUCCAUUGUAUAAUCUGGUCAAGUGGAUUUGCUCACUUUCGUAAAUGCCUGUCAGCUUCUAGACCACAUUGCAACAGAAAUUCAGUUUCACUUUCUCAGGGUCGCUCCUGGCAUUUUCACAGGGUGUUUUUUGUAGCACUAAGGAAGGUUAUAAUCAGUCUUUUCCAAGGAAAAGUGAGUUCAAGAAAUGAUGAGAGCAAAUUUUGAGCUUCUGUUCCUGGAGUUUAGUCCUGUUUUCCUGAAGAUGAAACAAAACAAAAAUACCUAAGAAAUACAGUAGAGGUUAAAGGAAAAGUGGUGUGUCUCUUUCUGGUGUACAGUCUCAGUGACAUCUCUGCUGGAUAAUGAAAUAUUGGAUAUUUUGUAUAUUCUUAUGCAUUUUAGAGAACUAAUGAAGGGCAUUAUUUUCAUUAAUCUUUAACUGUGGACCAGAAAACCAAGAUUUACUUGGUAACCAAGAUAUAUUCCUAUCUUCUGACAGAGUACUUUCUCUCAUUUCCUUUUGGUGGCUUGUUCAUUUUUCUCAGCUUUAAG
rnacentral:lncRNA from 1 species